rnacentral:rRNA from 1 species
CAGUAGCCGCGGUAAUACGGAGGAUCCAAGCGUUAUCCGGAAUCAUUGGGUUUAAAGGGUCCGUAGGCGGUCUUGUAAGUCAGUGGUGAAAGCCCAUCGCUCAACGGUGGAACGGCCAUUGAUACUGCAGGACUUGAAUUAUUGGGAAGUAACUAGAAUAUGUAGUGUAGCGGUGAAAUGCUUAGAGAUUACAUGGAAUACCAAUUGCGAAGGCAGGUUACUACCAAUUGAUUGACGCUGAUGGACGAAAGCGUGGGUAGCGAACAGGAUUAGAGACCCCUGUAGUCCCUGUCUCUUAUAC